rnacentral:rRNA from 1 species
GACAGAGGUGCCGAGCGUUAGGCGGAAUCACUGGGCUUAAAGCGUGUGUAGGCGGAUGGGUAAGUCCCUUGUGAAAUCCCACGGCUCAACCGUGGAACUGCUCGGUAUACUGCUCGUCUUGAGCCAACUAGGGGCGACCGGAACAAACGGUGGAGCGGUGAAAUGCGUAGAUAUCCGGAGGAAUACCAAAGGCGAAGGCAGUGUCCUGGCUGGCAACUGACGCUGAGGCGCGAAAGCUAGGGGAGCGAACAGG